CCUCAUAUCAAGAUCAUUUGAAGUGUGACCAUGAUUUUUCUUUUUGAAAAGGAAAAUGUGGUAUGCGUUCAUCUGAAAGAUAGAGUUAACCUUAAUUGUAAAUUUCUGUAGUCUGAAAUGAUUCACAUAAUUUCUUGCUUUCUGGUGCCAAGAAUAUAGCUUGCUAUCUUUCCAGGCUGUGCUGUUGCUCAGGUGAUUUGUAACCAAUGAAGUCUGCCCAGGCCUUGAACUUCCUUGAGAUGUAACAGAGGAAUUCCUGACACACCCUGGGCUUAGGCCACUCGGGGCCUUACAGAAUCAAGACAGAGAGGAGAGCAGAUCCAUUAAAGCCAAGAGAGGUGAUCCAGUGGAUUAGGAUUACUCUUCUAACUCAUUCCAAGGUGAAUGCUUUUGAUUUUCUUCUAAGUGCCUCUCUAGAGAACUUCAGAGAAUAGAGCCUGAAGACUUCAAGAGAACAUGUGAUUGGAAAAGACAUGUCACAACACAUUUAAACUUGUUAUUAUCAAAGAAGCACAGUUAACAACCUUUGAGAAAGUCAUAGGAUGCAAAUAUUCAGUGCACAAUUGGCUACACAGCAUCAUGAAUGUCAUUAAGUGUAUUUUAAAAUGCAAUUACAGAAUUACGUAGGCAAGAAAAAUGUAUCUUGCUUCAAAAACACAAAUAGAUAAAAAAUCAACAAUCUGAUUAAUAUUUUUCGUCUUGUGUUAAGAAAUACAAACCUAACAAGGAACAGUAGACUUGACAAUGAGGAAUAGAAAGAGAUGAAGCCUAGGCCAUCCCUCCAAGGGCCUUGAUAAAACAAAAGGAUUGAAGAAAAACAAG
rnacentral:lncRNA from 1 species